rnacentral:sRNA from 1 species
CUUUAGCCCUGAUGGCAGUGGAAAUCCUAACAAAAAAAUCCCAAUUAUAGUUUUAUAAUUGGGAUUUUUUGUUAGAUUGAAACAACAGCAGGAACAUGG